AAGAAGCUGCAUGGAUCCAAAUGUGUAUUUGUUGCCUUGAAACCCCACUCAGAGAGAGGAGGAGAUGUACGUAAUUUAUACUUUCUCAUUUGUCUAUUGUGAGGCGUAUUUUGCUUUCUUCUUCUAGUAUUACGAUACGUAGUAGUACUUCACAUUGGGACGUACCGUGCGACCGAGAGACAUGGACUCAUGGAGGCAUGUAGCUCUGCCUUGUGGUUAGAGCGUCGUUGUCGUCCAUAAAUACGCUCCAACUUCCGGAUUCAAUGGAGAGUACGUCGAGGCAGUACAUCAUCGUCGGUGCGAAUCCCCCCUUCCAACAGAGAAAACCCAGCAGCGUACUACAUGCAUUGCUGGGCCAGGGAGCAGCUACCCGUACAUCUCCACCAAACACAAAUAAAAACUACUCCACUCCUAGUACUUCGCCUGCAAAAUUUGCCGUGCUUUCACCGGCGGAUACACGCCGAGAGGACAUACGGAGACGACGACCGACCGAUGGAUAGUCGAUCGAGAGACGAUCACGGUCUCUUGACGCGCACGCCGGCAGACGACGGACGCCGCCUCGCUUUCGCCUCGAUCGUCUCGCGCGCGGACGAUCGAGACGGCGACGGUGCGUCGUCGUGGCCCCGUUUUUUUUUUUUUUUGCUGCCGCGGCCGCGCUCAGGCAGAGGCCGGCUUAACCUGUUUUUCUUUCUUCCCGUGGUUUUGCGAGAGGGCGACGUAUGAUGGAUGGGCCUUCGCGAAAGGCUGCGCGCUUUCCGUCCUCCUUGCAUGGUGUGGCUGUGGGGCGUCCAUCGGCAUGUGGCUCAUGGAGGGCUUUGGCGGAAUGGCGGCCUACCUAGCUAGGACAUCAUCCUCGGAGUUUGGGACCAUGAUUUUGGUUGCCACCACCUGUUGCCUGAACGAAUUGUCUGUGGAUUUUAAUAUAGUAUACGUGGAUCACUUAAAUCUUCA